AGCUCCAAUAGCGUAUAUUAAAGUUGUUGUGGUUAAAAAGCUCGUAGUUGCAUUUCCGAGGCAAGGGAUUAGUCCGACCUUUGGUGGGUAUUUAAUCCUCUUGCCUCGUCCUUGAGUGGUGCUUCUUGGUAUUAAGUUAUCGAGGAGAUAGCCGCUCAUCGUUUACUGUGAGAAAAUUAGAGUGUUCAAAGCAGGCUUAUGCCGUUGAAUAUAUUAGCAUGGAAUAAUAAGAUAGGACCUCGGUACUAUUUUGUUGGUUUGAGAACCAAGGUAAUGAUGAAUAGGGACAGUUGGGGGUAUUCGUAUUCAGUUGUCAGAGGUGAAAUUCUUAGAUUUACGGAAGACGAACUACUGCGAAAGCAUUUACCAAGGAUGUUUUCA
rnacentral:rRNA from 1 species